UUUUAUCCACCACCAUGUACUCUGCAGAGCAGUAGUGAAGAGUGACGGACAGAGGGGAGGCAGGGCGGGUGGCCAGUAGGAUGACCUGCGGUGGGGCACUGUUUCUGGUCGAAAGGGAGCGUUCGUGGUGGACUGCUGAGACGACCUGGGAAUAUCCUGGUGCCUGUAGGGACAGAAGGCCUGAUUAGCCGAAAUGGAUUGAAAAUGCUGUUGGCCAGGGGGCCACCGCCAUAGAAGCUCUAGAACACUCCAAGGAUUCCUGCGCAGGCGCAGUUUACCUCCCAGCAGUGUAAUUCACAGAGACCACGUUGAAGAACUUAUCCUUUGAACUUGAAGAGCUGCUCUCAUGUACUGUCUCCCCUCAAAAUAUUUUUCCUUUAAAAAGGUCUUUAAAAAUCUCUGAAG